CACAUACAGACGGAAAGUUCCAUGUGUUACAAAGUAGACAUUGCUGAAAGUGGCAGCAGAGGAGAAAACCUGUAUAGAUCACAUGACAACAUCAAUGAGGAUGAAGAAGGACCAGAGUCACAUGAAUGAGAGGAUACUAAACCUCACCUUGGAGAUCAUCUACCUGCUGACCGGAGAGAGAUUUCCAAUUCCAACGUCUGGACAUCAUAUG